rnacentral:snRNA from 1 species
GUAUCUGGCUUCGGCGGUACAUAUACAAAAAUUGGAACGAUACAGAGUAGAUUAGCAUGGCCCCUGCGCAAGUAUGACACGCAAAAUCGUGAAGCGUUCCAUAUCUUG